CCGUGAACCUUUACUAUAGCUUGACACUGAACACUGGUCCUUGAUGUGCAGGAUAGGUGGGAGGCUUUGAAGCGCGGACGCCAGUUCGUGUGGAGCCAUCCUUGAAAUACCACCCUUUAAUGGCUGGUGUUCUAACGUAGACCCGUGAUCCGGGUUGCGGACAGUGUCUGGUGGGUAGUUUGACUGGGGCGGUCUCCUCCUAAAGAGUAACGGAGGAGCACGAAGGUUAGCUAAUCCUGGUCGGACAUCAGGAGGUUAGUGCAAAGGCAUAAGCUAGCUUGACUGCGAGCGUGACGGCGCGAGCAGGUGCGAAAGCAGGUC
rnacentral:rRNA from 1 species